UACGUAGGGUGCAAGCGUUAAUCGGAAUUACUGGGCGUAAAGCGUGCGCAGGCGGUUUUGUAAGUCUGUCGUGAAAUCCCCGGGCUCAACCUGGGAAUUGCGAUGGAGACUGCAAGGCUAGAAUCUGGCAGAGGGGGGUAGAAUUCCACGUGUGAGCAGUGAAAUGCGUAGAGAUGUGGAGGAACACCGAUGGCGAAGGCAGCCCCCUGGGUCAAGAUUGGACGCUCAUGCACGAAAGCGUGGGGAGCAAACAGG
rnacentral:rRNA from 1 species